CUGCUCUCAGAAAAAAACUUUAGGUUGUCUAGACAUCUUAAGGAGCUCUCACUUGGACAUAGAGAUGCAGAAGUAUCUUAUAAAAGAAAGAAACUUUUAAGAGUUUCAUGUAGAGUCCUCUCCAUGCUAAGUAAAAUAUUCAUUAUCAUAUAAUUAGAGGGUCCCUUAGACUAUUAUUUAGAAGAUUGCUGGUGUGUUGUUACCACUUUCCAAAGAGAUCUGCAGAAUGGGAUUACCCUUGUGUCACUUUAUGAAGAACCCAAAUUCUCUUAGCAAUAAGAAGAAUUUCUUUAAUUCCCAAGGAGACAAAAAUAAAGCAACAUAUCUGAAAGUAAGACUCAGCCUGACCUUGAACAAAUUCUGUAAGGAAUUAAGGUGUUAUUGGGGUACUCUACAUGCUAUUACAUUAUUCAGAUCACUGUUGCCAGCAAAGCCAAGACUCAAGCAAAACACUUGAUUUCAG